UACGUAGGGUGCGAGCGUUAAUCGGAAUUACAGGGCGUAAAGCGUGCGCAGGCGGCUUUGCAAGACAGAGGUGAAAUCCCCGGGCUCAACCUGGGAACUGCCUUUGUGACUGCAAGGCUAGAGUACGGCAGAGGGGGAUGGAAUUCCGCGUGUAGCAGUGAAAUGCGUAGAUAUGCGGAGGAACACCGAUGGCGAAGGCAAUCCCCUGGGCCUGUACUGACGCUCAUGCACGAAAGCGUGGGGAGCAAACAGGAUUA
rnacentral:rRNA from 1 species